UACAGAGGGUGCAAGCGUUGUCCGGAAUCACUGGGCGUAAAGGGCGCGUAGGCGGCCUGAUAAGUCGGGGGUGAAAUUCUGCGGCUUAACCGCAGGACGGCCUUCGAGACUGUCGGGCUUGAGCACGGUAGAGGCAGGUGGAAUUCCCGGUGUAGCGGUGGAAUGCGUAGAGAUCGGGAAGAACAUCGGUGGCGAAGGCGGCCUGCUGGGCCGUUGCUGACGCUGAGGCGCGACAGCGUGGGGGAGCAAACAGG
rnacentral:rRNA from 1 species